rnacentral:rRNA from 1 species
GACGAACGCUGGCGGCGUGCUUAACACAUGCCAGUCGAACGGAAAGGCCCUGCUUUUGUGGGGUGCUCGAGUGGCGAACGGGUGAGUAACACGUGAGUAACCUGCCCUUGACUUUGGGGUAACUUCAGGAAACUGGGGCUAAUACCGGAUAGGAGCUCCUGCUGCAUGGUGGGGGUUGGAAAGUUUCAGCGGUUGGGGAUGGACUCGCGGCUUAUCAGCUUGUUGGUGGGGUAGUGGCUUACCAAGGCUUUGACGGGUAGCCGGCCUGAGAGGGUGACCGGCCACAUUGGGACUGAGAUACGGCCCAGACUCCUACGGGAGGCAGCAGUGGGGAAUAUUGCACAAUGGGCGGAAGCCUGAUGCAGCAACGCCGCGUGCGGGAUGACGGCCUUCGGGUUGUAAACCGCUUUCGCCUGUGACGAAGCGUGAGUGACGGUAAUGGGUAAAGAAGCACCGGCUAACUACGUG